rnacentral:rRNA from 1 species
UGUACAAGGUUUCCGUAGGUGAACCUGCGGAAGGAUCAUUGUCAAAACUUGCCUAGUAGAAUGACCUGUGAACUCGUUACAUAUUUUGGGGUUUCACUUUUGUUUGUCUCCCCAUUUACCAUCUUGGAUGGCUCUUGUAUCCUCGAGGAUGGUGUAACAACAAACUCCGGCGCGGACUGCGCCAAGGAAAUAUCAAAGGGAGAAUAAGCUUUUGUUGCCUCGAAAAUGGUGUGCAACUCGAAAGUUUUAUUUCCUUUAAUUAUAUAUAAUGACUCUCGGCAACGGAUAUCUUGGCUCUCGUAUCGAUGAAGAACGUAGCGAAAUGCGAUACUUGGUGUGAAUUGCAGAAUCCCGUGAACCAUCGAGUCUUUGAACGCAAGUUGCGCCUAAAGCCUUUAGGCUGAGGGCACGUCUGCCUGGGUGUCACACAUCGUUCCUUCCAUCCAACUCCUUGAUGGAUACGGAUGGAGGUGGAUAUUGGCCUCCCGUGAGAUGUUUCUUGUGGUUGGCCUAAAUUUUAGUCAUUGGUAAUGGAUGUCACGACAUUCGGUGGUGGAAAAUUUAUGAAACCUUCGAGUUUUGUUGUUUGCCUUCCUUGCCUAAUAGGCCCUAUAGUGUUUGCAAUGGAUGCACGCAACGCGACCUCAGGUCAGACGGGAUUACCCGCUGAGUUUAAGCAUAUC